rnacentral:rRNA from 22 species
UUCGUAACAAGGUUUCCGUAGGUGAACCUGCGGAAGGAUCAUUG